AGACUUUCUCUCAAUAAACCAACCAAGUGUGCCAUUCACACAUGUAAUCCCAGACAUUUAGGAGGUGAUGCAGGAGGAACACUAUCUGAGGCUGGCCCUGGCAAAGGUACAAGACUCUAUCAAAAACAAACUCAACUGAGAGGCUGAGCUCUGAGGACUGCAGUCUGAAAACAGACCACGCAAGAAAGUCCUUGAGAUUCUUAUCUUCAUUUAACCA